rnacentral:rRNA from 1 species
GACGAACGCUGGCGGCGUACCUAAUACAUGCAAGUCGAGCGGACUUUCAAGAAGCUUGCUUUUUGAAAGUUAGCGGCGGACGGGUGAGUAACACGUGGGCAACCUGCCUGCAAGACGGGGAUAACUCCGGGAAACCGGGGCUAAUACCGGAUAAUAUCUUUCUUCGCAUGAAGGAAGGUUGAAAGGCGGCGCAAGCUGCCGCUUGCAGAUGGGCCCGCGGCGCAUUAGCUAGUUGGUGAGGUAACGGCUCACCAAGGCGACGAUGCGUAGCCGACCUGAGAGGGUGAUCGGCCACACUGGGACUGAGACACGGCCCAGAAUCCUACGGGAGGCAGCAGUAGGGAAUCUUCCGCAAUGGACGAAAGUCUGACGGAGCAACGCCGCGUGAGCGAAGAAGGUCUUCGGAUCGUAAAGCUCUAUUGUCAGGGAAGAACAAGUACCGUUCGAAUAGGGCGGUACCUUGACGGUACCUGACCAGAAAGCCACGGCUAACUACGUGCCAGCCGCCGCGGUAA